GAAAGCUCAGAGUCAGGCCUAGGCCUGAGACAAGGGUCUCGGCCCUUAACAUUCACUGAGGUUGGGCAUCUGAAGGCCCAAUGGCCUUAGCUAGGCUUUGGGGUGGGUACGUUAAUUUGCCAGUGUGGUGCUUAUUGUGGGGAUCUGCUCAGCUAUAGGGAGACUCAGAUCAGCACAGCUCCUGAGCCAAAAACCCUUGCCAUAGUCACAGGGAGAUCCUCACUCCAGGCUUGGGAGCACCUCUUCUUCCACCUCACUGAUGCCGAAAAGGGCUGCCUGACAGAGUGUGGUGGACAGAAUACCCACUGUGCCCCCAUUCUGUACAUAGUAUCACCCCCAAGGACCUCUCUCUGAGUGACUGCAGUGGGCCCAAGGGCCUCUGAGAAGCUCAGAGAGCCUAUGGAGGCCCAAUGGAGCAGUCACCAGAAAUAGUUGGUACUCAUACCCACACCCAAUGCCACAGAGGCAGCUGGGUGCAGUCUGCAGAGGGCCCUUUCCCAGGAGGAUCCAGGCUUUCUCCUUGGGCAAGCCCUCACACUGGCAGAAGGGCAUGGAGCCAUUCUCUCUGUGGAGCACCUGCUAGCUUCUCUAGACCACCCACCAGAGGUUCAGCCACAUUCGCCUCAGGCUCUUCUUCCUGGGCUGCCUGCCACCAAGCCAGACUGGCUGAGGUACUCCUCAUUGCUGCUCCUGGUGGGAAGUCCAGGAAGAUCGGAAGAAGGGAAAAGAACUGGGCUGGGGACACAGGUGAAACUCAAGUUAUACAGCCACCGUAUUCAGGUAAAGUCAGAGGUUAGGAGGACAGGUUCCAUCUAUGCAUUCACCUAUCCAUUCAUGCAUCUAUCUAUCCAUUUGUUUUGCCCAUCUCACAGUGUA